GACGAACGCUGGCGGCGUGCCUAAUACAUGCAAGUCGAACGCAGUGGGGACGGGUGAGUAACACGUGGGUAACCUCCCAUCAGAGGGGAUAACACUUGGAAACAGGUGCUAAACCGAUAUUGAUGGCUGGACCCGGGGUGCAUUAGCUAGUUGGUGAGGUAACGGCUCACCAAGGCCACGAGGCAUAGCCGGCCUGAGAGGGGGAUCGGCCACACUGGGACUGGGAAACGGCCCAGACUCCUACGGGAGGCAGCAGUGGGGAAUCUUCGGCAAUGGACGAAAGUCUGACCGAGCAACGCCGCGUGAGUGAAGAAGGUUUUCGGAUCGUAAAGCACUGUUGUUGGAGAAGCGGUAUCUAAACAGAAAGCCACGGCUAACUACGUGCCAGCCGCCGCGGUAAUAC
rnacentral:rRNA from 1 species